UCCUGGUUUAAAGCCAGGCAGUCUGUUUAGAGAUCCCGCUUGCGCAGGCAACUAAACACAAGGGUUGCGCUCGUUGCGGCACUUAAGCCAACAUCUCACGACACGAGCUGACGACAACCAUGCAGCACCUGUGCUGGCUCUCCUCUUGCGAGGAGUCGUCACCCUUUCAGGCUUCUACUACCAGCAUGUCAAGGCCAGGUAAGGUUCUUCGCGUUGCAUCGAAUUAAGCCACAUGCUCCACCGCUUGUGCGGGCCCCCGUCAAUUUCUUUGAGUUUUAGCCUUGCGGCCGUACUUCCCAGGCGGUUCACUUAUCGCGUUAGCUACGGCACGCAGGGGGUCGACUCCCCGCACACCAAGUGAACACCGUUUAGGGCCAGGACUA
rnacentral:misc_RNA from 1 species